rnacentral:rRNA from 1 species
CUUCCCAUACCGAACAGAGAAGUUAAGCCUAUCAGCGCAGAUGGUACUGCCAUUCAGGUGGGAGAGUAUGUCGUCGCCUUUC